rnacentral:lncRNA from 1 species
GUGGCCAUUGUUAUCCACAAAUAGCAAGUGUCCCAUCUAAUUGAGGAGCCAUGUGUAACAUUUCUUUUGUUUUGUAUGCGUCUUAACAUGCCGGUGUCACGUCAUUGAUCAAAUCUGACAACUGUCAAGUAGCAAUUAAUAUCAGGAAAAUGAUAUAUUAUCCUAUAAAUCAUUUUUCUUAUUAUUGAAUAAUAAACGACAUAUGUUACAAAGAUAUAAUUUAUUUAUUGAAGAUUAAUUUGUAACUUAUAAUUAAUAUAUAUCAUUUUUUUAAGGUUGGUUUAAUGAUAUAUCAUUCCUCUUUUAUUAAAUUUGAGAAACGUAAUUAUUAACUUUUAGCACCUAAUUAUUUUGGAAAAGACACGUGGGAAUUAUCUUAUAUUUUUAGAGAAUAUUAAGAAUUUGUUAUAUUAUUUACUUGUAGUAUAAAAUUUUGUUAUUAUUAAAUUUUAAAUAAAAUAGUACACAUAAAAGAAAAAUGAUAUACUAAACACCGAAAGUAUAUAGAUAAAUAAAUUCUUCUUAAAACUAGAAAAAAAAACCAACAGCAAGAUAAGCCACGGUAUUUGGAAAUAUGGUAAGAUGGAAGCGGCAACAAAAUCUUGAAUCUUGUAGUUUCUCACUUAUAUUGGGAACUUGCAAUUUGAGAUAGUUAUCAUGUCAUUUUCACCUUUUAAAGACAAAUUUCUUUUGUAAACAAUAUAUUAUAUUUAGAGACAAAUAUUUUUUUAAUCAUAUUAUUUAUGAUUAAAUUUUAAUUAAAAUUAAUUUUUUUUAUAUAUUAUUAAGAUUUUACUUAUUGUCUCUAUAUAUAUAUUCACAAAAGUCUUUCUCCCGACUAAUAUCUUGAAAAUCUCUUCAUUAAUAUACUACCGAGAAAGGAUGAAUGAGUGAAUUACAAAUGAAUCCAUGUGUAUACACACAUUCCAUCAUUCAAUUAUAAAGAAUUUAUAUGCAAUAUACUUUAUGAGCGAGUGUUUAUGAAGAGUAAAGAUUUGAUGUCUCAAAUUUAGAUUUAUCAUAGAUCAAUUGUGAAGCAAAAUUAAUAAUAAUAAUAAUAAUAAAUGUUAAAAUUUUACUUGAUAGGACAUAUUUUUAUUAUUGUGAUACAAAAUUUGAGUUAUAAUUUAGGAUAAUAUAUAUUUUUUGUUUGAGAACAGGUAGAGUGUUGUUUAGAGAUGGAUCACAUGUCAUCAUUCUUAUCUCACUUUAUAUCUUUAUUCAAUUAGAAAAUUUCAUUUAAUUAAAGAGAAAAUCAUAAUAACAUAAAUUAAUAUUUUUAUAUUAUUUUAUGAAGUUUAAUCGAUUAGGAAGAUCGAAAAAUAUUUUCUAGUGUAGGUGGAUGUGAGAUUUUGUACCAUAUACCCUAUUCAAAUAUGAUUGCCUUUUUGGAUGAUAUACUUGUAUAAUAAAAACAAUAUUUGUGUUUAGUUUAAGAUGGUUGAACAUCCUAAUAAAGUAUAAUUUUCUGGAAAAUGUUAUUUCUCUAUAUUAAUUUAUAAUUUUGACUAUUAAAAAUGUUUGAUUAUUUUGAAACUACGUGUAAGAGAUAAAUACCAUUUCAUUCAACCCAAAACCAAAUAACUUUCUCAAUUAUUUGAUCUCUCUUUAAGGCCUGUUUGUUUUGUUUCUAAAGAAAUGUGUUUAUGCAGAAACACUUUUUUUAGAAGCUAUAAAUAUGGCUUGCUGAAUUCUGCUUUUUUGUAGCUUUUGCUAUUUGUUAAGAGUGUUAGGUAUAAGUGGUCUAGACACACUUAGAAGAGGUUGAAUAGGUGUAGUGGUUAUUAAUUACCGCUUCUCACACCAAAACCCGGUUCUGAAAAACAACUCAGGUAAUCGAUUAAUCAGUGAGCUUAAUCGAUUUAACACGUAUCAGAAAUAGAAAGAUUGGUUUCUUGCACAGUUAUUUACUGUCAAACAAGCAGAGAUACAACAUAUAUUUUUAUGCACAAUUAACAACGAUAUGACAAAGUAGUAGUAUGCAAAAUAUUUAAUACACGAAUUAAAACAACUUGAAUUAUAAAAGACAUGAACAGAAAACAUCUUGUAUAAUAGCAUUUUUAUGAUGGUUCGUUUGUGUGUCCAAUUACAAACUACAUUCAUUCAGGCCUCCCUUCUGAUCUGAGAGAUUUCUCUUCACUAUAUUAAAACAUUUGUAUUGUUGCAUACACCAAUUCAAUUACAAGACUCUAGAGGCUUCUUUCUUAAAUUUCAAAAAACUCUAAUGGUUUGACUAUCCCUAUCCCUAUCGUCGAAGAAAACUUUUCUCGCGAUCCAGUCCAGCCAAGAUUUUUGCUCUAAAUUCAAGAGCUCCAAGCCUUGGUGAAGAUUCACUAAAUCCCAAUGGUGGUAAGACACCAAGAGAUUACAAAAAAUGUACAAAACAGUAUAAAAAAAACAGUUUUACUAAGCAUACUCACCAACAACCGCCAUCUCCAAACCAGGAAACAUAGUCAGUCACGUUCCCACGCCACCACUUGAUAUAUUAUGUGUAAUACUUUUGAUAAAGUGAGUGUUGUUGAUGUUACUUUUCUUAGUGAUUUUGAGGAAGAUUGUGGAAUUGGCGUGAAAUGGUGGUAUGGUGGUGGUGGUGGUUGUGGUGAGGUGAUGAUAUGUUAUGGAGGGAGGCGGCGGAGGUGGUACAUGUGGUGGUGGUGGGAUGAGAAUAGUAUGGCAAAGGUAUUUUGUGGUGGUCACUUAAGAAGGGGUAGGUUGAGGCUGGAUAAAGUCACGUAGGGUUGGGUAAGACAACAUUGGUUUUGUUAAUGAGAGUCAUUAGAAAAUUUGUUAAAAAAAUC